UGAGUAACCUGCCCUUAACUCUGGGAUAAGCCUGGGAAACUGGGUCUAAUACCGGAUAUGACUCCUCAUCGCAUGGUGGGGGGUGGAAAGCUUUAUUGUGGUUUUGGAUGGACUCGCGGCCUAUCAGCUUGUUGGUGAGGUAAUGGCUCACCAAGGCGACGACGGGUAGCCGCCUGAGAGGGUGUCCGGCCACACUGGGACUGAGAUACGGUCCAGACUCCGUACGGGAGGUAG
rnacentral:rRNA from 1 species